UACGGAGGGUGCAAGCGUUAUCCGGAUUUACUGGGUUUAAAGGGUGCGUAGGUGGGUCUGUAAGUCAGUGGUGAAAUCUUCGAGCUUAACUCGGAAACUGCCAUUGAUACUAUAGGUCUUGAAUAUCCUGGAGGUGAGCGGAAUAUGUCAUGUAGCGGUGAAAUGCUUAGAUAUGACAUAGAACACCAAUUGCGAAGGCAGCUGACUACGCGAGUAUUGACACUGAGGCACGAAAGCGUGGGGAUCAAACAGG
rnacentral:rRNA from 1 species